AUAAACCCAAAUUAAAUUAUAGAAACCAUACCAUAUCGAAUCCAUUUGAAUAACUUUGGAUGCAAUUGUAAGCAGAUUGAAUACUACAUCAGAAGUUGCAUUAUCAUAUGUCCACUUUAUUUUCAUAGUAAUGUGUCCUGUACUGUCUCUUAAUCAAAGGGCCCAGUAUACUGUGUUGGUUCCUGCCCUGUGGAAUACAGAGGUCCAAGACUGGGAGCUUAAAUGCAUGAACAGCCUGGAGCUGGAUGAAAGCCACAAUGAACCAAAAGCAGAACAAAGUGAAACUCAGGGCACACUGUCUGGUGAAGUCACAGAAGGAAAAGAGAAAGAAAAUGUAUCACCAUCAUCUGUGGGAGAAAAGACCACUGAGAAGGUCACACUUCCAGGUGCUGUAAAUAUACUGACACGGGUGAUGCGCCUGGCUCAACGGCACCUUUUGGACCCAAUGGGGCGACAGCGGGUCGAAAAAAAGAGUUCACAAACACAGGCAGCACCCAGACAGCAGAGUCCUGCAACUGGACGCUUUUGCGGGAGUCGGACUUCGGCUUCAUUAACACAAGCGCAGAUUCGAUCCAGGAGGCGAACGCAGCAGAGAGGCGUCACGAAUCAGCCAGUAGUGGAGGAGAGCAGUGACGAUGUUACUGUGGGAGAUGCAGAAGAUUGCGAAAAAACUGAAGGGGAGUUGUCAUCCAGACAGCAGAACAGCUUCCCGUUCAGGAAGGCCAAAGAGUCUAAGCUGAUCUGACACUGAAGGAAGAAGAAAAGAUGUGAUGGAACAAGGGAGGAAUACAGUGCUUAAACCUUACUAUGUAGUUUGGUUUGGGAUCUGGAAUAGUUGGUAAAGGAUGUGUGAUUAAGUUGCGCCUCAAACACACCCAGAUCAUCUGAGGUCAAUCUGAUUUUAUAGUUUGUGCUGAGCUGUAUAGCCAAUCUCAGAUCAGCCGCAGUGUGAAACCUGCUAACUGUUUUAUGUAGUUUGAUUGUGUAACUGAAAUUUUAUUGUGUGCUUAUUUUCUGUCUACUGGUGCAAUGUAUUUCUUCUAGUUGAAUCAUAAAUGCUUAACACUGACAUUUUAUUCCCUUUAGCAGCUGACA
ensembl:lncRNA